rnacentral:snRNA from 1 species
AAUGUAAUAAGAUAUUUUUUCACUCGGAACAAGACAGAGAAGGUCAGCAUGGCCUCUGCACAAGAAUGGCAUGCAACCUUGUAAAGCAUGUCGUGUGAGG